GCUUGUCUCAAAGAUUAAGCCAUGCAUGUCUAAGUAUAAAUCUCUUACUUUGAAACUGCGAACGGCUCAUUAUAUCAGUUAUAGUUUAUUUGAUAGUCCCUUACUACUUGGAUAACCGUAGUAAUUCUAGAGCUAAUACAUGCGUCAACACCUUUGGGUGGUAUUUAUUAGAUGGAAACCAAUGCGGGGCAACCCGGUAUAUGGUGAUUCAUAAUAACUUUCGGAUCGAUCUUCGGAUCGAUGCAUCAUUCAAGUUUCUGCCCUAUCAGCUUUGGAUGGUAGGGUAUUGGCCUACCAUGGCUUUAACGGGUAACGGAGAAUUAGGGUUCGAUUCCGGAGAGGGAGCCUGAGAAAUGGCUACCACAUCCAAGGAAGGCAGCAGG
rnacentral:rRNA from 1 species